rnacentral:ribozyme from 1 species
CCCCCGCGGAGGCGCCACCUCUACGCGGUGCGGGGGGAGCAACUCACUUUGAAAGUGAGGCGAAGGGCGCC